rnacentral:sRNA from 1 species
AACAGAGGAACGCAGACUAAGAACGCCACGUCCUGUGGCGACGUCUGCGCUAGUACAUCCUGUACG